UACGAGGAGAGCGAGCGUUAUCCGGAUUCAUUGGGCGUAAAGCGUGCGCAAGCGGUUUUACAAGUGAGAUGCUAAAUUCCAAUGCUCAACAUUGGGGGUGCGUUUCAUACUGUAAGACUAGAGUCAAUGAGAGGCAAACGGAAUUCCCGGUGUAGUAGUGAAAUGCGUUGAUAUCGGGAGGAACACCAAAAGCGAAAGCAGUUUGCUGGCAUUGUACUGACGCCGUUGCACGACAGCGUGGGGAGCAAACGGG
rnacentral:rRNA from 1 species